rnacentral:rRNA from 1 species
AGCGAACGCUGGCGGCAGGCCCAAUACAUGCAAGUCGAGCGCACCUUCGGGUGAGCGGCGGACGGGUGAGUAACGCGUGGGAACGUGCCCUUUGGUACGGGAUAACUGAGGGAAACUUCAGCUAAUACCGUAUGUGCCCUACGGGGGAAAGAUUUAUCGCCAUUGGAGCGGCCCGCGUUGGAUUAGGUAGUUGGUGAGGUAAAGGCUCACCAAGCCUACGAUCCAUAGCUGGUCUGAGAGGAUGAUCAGCCACACUGGGACUGAGACACGGCCCAGACUCCAACGGGAGGCAGCAGUAGGGAAUCUUGCGCAAUGGGCGAAAGCCUGACGCAGCCAUGCCGCGUGAAUGAUGAAGGUCUUAGGAUUGUAAAAUUCUUUCACCGGGGAAGAUAAUGACGGUACCCGGAGAAGAAGCCCCGGCUAACUUCGUGCCAGCCGCCGCCGUAACAC